rnacentral:rRNA from 1 species
GACGAACGCUGGCGGCGUGCUUAACACAUGCAAGUCGAACGGAGAGGCCCUUCCUUUUUUGGGUGCUGUGGUUGCGAGCGGGUGAGUAACGCGAGAGUAACCUGCCCUGGACUCUUGUAUAACUUCAGGAAACGGGGGCUUAUACCGGAUAGGAGCUCCUGCGUCAUUGUGGUGGUGGGAAAGGUUCGGCGGUUGGUGAGGGACUCGCGGCGUAUCAGCUUGUUGGUGGGGUAGUGGCUGAGCAAGGCUUUGACGGGUAGCCGGCCUGAGAGGGUGACCGGCCACAUUGGGACUGAGAUACGGCCCAGACUCCUACGGGAGGCAGAAGUGGGGAAUAUUGCACAAGGGGCGGAAGCCUGAUGCAGCAACGCCGCGUGCGGGAUGAAGGCCUUCGGGUUGUAAACCGAUUUCGCCUGUGACGAAGCGUGAGUGAAGGUAAUGGGUAAAGGAGGACCGGCUAAAUAAGUG